UCUAGCUCUCAGUGCGCUAGCAGUGGCGGUGAUGGCCACGGGAGAGGAAGGGGCCCACACACAGUCACCAAUGGACGCCGAAAACGUAUUCCAGCUCCUGUGUUCAGCUCCACUAGAGACCCGCACCAGCUACCAUCUGGCGGUGCAGCCUGACUCUGCGGUGUCCCAGCAUUGCAUUCUACUAUUGGCAGUGGUUCGAUAUCGGGUUUCAGCUUUCAGCUUCCAGCGGUGCCUAGCUCUGACAGUCACAUCAUCGAUCUCCAGUCACCAUCGGUGUUCCAUCAUUGAUCUCCAGCCAUCAUCGGUGUUCCAUCAUCAAUCUCCAGUCACCAUCGGUGUUCCCCAGCAUCACCAGUGUUUCUUCAUCUGACCUUCUGCUACACUGGUGUUCUAACAUCAUUCCACAGUUCACCAUUGGUGUUCCUACUUGGAAACGCUCACUCCAUCAGUGAGCUCUGUAGCACCCUACACCACCUGGGCCGGUUCCACCCGGCAUCCCCGGCACUUCACGAGUGCUCACCCUAUUCAGCAUUCCACCAGUAUCUCCAGCUUCCAGUGUGUCAUCUGCUGGUCAGUUCCUACACAUACCAUCCAUACAGCGGAUAGCUGUUGGUCAUCUGGACUUUCCAUCUCCAGGUCUUCCAAGACUGUAGUGUGUUAUACCACUUCCAACAGCAUCCUACUAUUCCUGUAUUUAAGGAACUGUGAUUCUACUGUUAUGCUACAACUUCAUAUUGCUGAGCACUCCUGUCUUCCCUGAACUGUCAAUGUGCAAGCUGAACUGAGUUUAAUAAACAUCUCAAACUUUCACAAA